CAGCGGUGUUUUACUUGGGGCAGCAGGCGCGAAAACUUUACAAUCAUGGAAACAACGAUAGGGGAACUUUGAGUGCCAGGUUACAAAUCUGGCUGUCGUGAUGCCUAAAAAACAUUGCAUAGCAAGGGCCGGGCAAGACCGGUGCCAGCCGCCGCGGUAACACCGGCGGCUCGAGUGGUAACCGUUAUUAUUGGGUCUAAAGGGUCUGUAGCCGGCCGGAUAAGUCUCUUGGGAAAUCUGGCAGCUUAACUGUCAGGCUUUCAGGAGAUACUGUCUGGCUCGAGGCCGGGAGAGGUGAGAGGUACUUCAGGGGUAGGGGUGAAAUCUUGUAAUCCUUGAAGGACCACCAGUGGCGAAGGCGUCUCACCAGAACGGACCUGACGGCAAGGGACGAAAGCUAGGGGCACGAACCGGAUUAGAUACCCGGGUAGUCCUAGCUGAAAAGGGAUAGUGCACUCUUAAAGGGGCUAGGACUGGCAUGGGAACGCAGGAAUGGCAGCGAGCACAGCACUCGCAUCAC
rnacentral:rRNA from 1 species